GUUAAAAUGAACAUCCCUACGCACAACAAAAACAUAAGACUUAUAAUAUCGAUUGCAGAUUAAAAACAAGCCUCUGUUAUCAAAGCAAAUUCGAUCGUAUUUUCAUCGUAACUGAACUAAACUCAUAACUGUUCUACACAAACAUCCCACAUUUUUCUUUACAUGGGCUUUUAACAUCGGAUGAAGACAAUCAGAUGUACAAUGACAACUACACCAGCAUGCAGUUCAAGCUAAAACGAGAGAUCCAGCACGCUCACUGGAUGCUACGCUAUAAGGAUAUUCUCUGCGUUCAAACGCUCUAUUGUGUCUUCGCACACUUCUAAUGUCUGCCGAAGCUCCCGCAGUCGAUCUGAACUCUCACUCUCUUCAUCAUCAACCUCUUCUAUGAUACGAUCGCGCUCUGGCGCGUUCUCUUCGAACUGAUCAAAUAAUUCGCUAUCCCCAAACUCCACCGCAGCCAUGUUUGAUGACCACAAUGCGCGACGCGUACUACAGUUCAAAGGGUAAACCGUACAACGCUCCGACGCAGGGCUGCUGAUUGGCUAGGAGACCACAGUCAGGAAGUAAUACAUAUUUAAACAUGCAAACAAAACACUUCAUAGCUAAAGCUGUCUGUUUACGGUUACUAAAUUAGAGUUGGCGGUGGUACAGUUUUCUUUUGUGAUCACGCUGAAGAAGAUAUCUGGCAUGCAGGGCGUUUGCAAUAGAAACGCUUAAUUUGUUCGGUAUUUUAAACUUUUUUUUGCUCUUUGGCCGACUGUCCUGUCUUUACAUCAUCAUGGCAUCUGGAGGAAUUUCUCUCAUCAAUAUGUCGUAUUGGGAGUGUGGUAAAAGGAGGGUGCGAUUCUUGUAUCUUACAAACAACAACUCGUUUAAUGUUGCUAAACCAAGCACAAACGAGGAUCAGAUGAUCCCUCUCUUUCUUGGAGCUGAUCUGUUCUCAGACACAGACGUUCGCAGUGAAAACCAGCCCAGAUACCAUGCAAAAUUUGCUAAACGAGGAUUGGCAACCAAACUGGUUUUCCCAUCAGACUACAGAUUCCAAGGACUGCGACUCCCUUAUUCCAACAACAGUCUGUGGUUCUAUAGUGUUCAUGGAGUUUUUCGAGUGGCAUUUGAACUGUAUAGCAAACAAGAUCAGCUCUCCGUUAUGGAGUCAUUUCAGGAUCUAUGGAAAUCUCGAAUAAAUGACAACAACUUGAACAUGACCUAUCAUCUUGGUGCCCAGGAUGUUCAACCCCAAACUGAUCAAGAGGCGCAAACUAUUUUGGAAAAUAAUAAUACAUGUUCAUCAUACCAAGUCCAUCGGCAGUCUGGCGAAGUAGAAACAAACUUCUUUCCAGUACUCACAGAUCAGUCAGAUAUUUCAUCAUCUUCAGACCAUGACUACUGUUCCUCAGAGCAAACAAACUUAAGCCAGUCUACUUUACUUGCACAGAAACUUCAAAGCCUAGGGGAAAAAGUGAAGCUAUUUACAAGUAUUGAAGCAGAACAUUUAAAGACUGCCACAAAGGUCCUGGACUAUGUUGAAUACUGUAUUACUGGGAUGAUUGACGAGGAAAAACUGAUGAACACUGUGAUGGCCCUAUUUCAAUCUCAUUUUCAGAGCUACUCCAUCUACUCAAGCAGUCUGCUGAAGGCUGUGGCAGGUUGGCUUGGCCAGCAGUUCAAUGCAGCCAACAGCACCAUUAGUCACCGGGUUGAAGGUUUUAAGGCCCAACACAUUGAGCACAUUACAAACUUGCCACCUCCUGAGGAGCUGGCAACUGAACUUUUCCCAGAGGCAAUGCGAAAUCUUCUUGCACACUGGAUGGGUCUGAGUGACGAGGCAGAAAACUGGAAAAGACACAGCGAAUACCCCAUUUUACUACUUAUUCUAGAAUUUGCUAAUCACAAUCUUAUCACAGGUGUAGCUCAUGUCUUGUAUUCCAGUCUAAUAUGCAAAUAAGUAUACUUAGAUGUAGGUUAUAUAUUACGUAUCAUUUGGUCGCAGUUUUGUAGGUUUAUAGCAUUAAAACACAAAUUAUUUCAAAUAAAUAGUUUCUUUAAAAGUCAAAUGUUGAUGUCCUUUCCACAGCAAGCUGUUGACAGAUUUUGUAUUUUGUCCUAAAAGGAAUAAAAGGACAUCAAUCUCAUGAUUUUAGGCCAACCUAUUAAAAAUGAUUAACAUAAAAACAUGACAUUUUGCAUACACUGCUUACAAGAGCUUCCCCAGAUUACUGUAAAUAAUGUGUAAUGCAGUCACACUGUGAAUUUGAGAGUUGGAACAUCAAACAUUUAAAAAUUCAAUUUGGUUUGCAAUUCACUUGUAUAACAUAAUAAAAUAAUAAUAAUAAUAAUAAAUCAAAUAGAAC
ensembl:lncRNA uncharacterized LOC107560326